rnacentral:rRNA from 1 species
GCACUGAGACUUCGGUUUUUGUGCUUAGUGGCGGACGGGUGAGUAACGCGUGAGCAAUCUGCCUUUCAGAGGGGGAUAACGAUUGGAAACGAUCGCUAAUACCGCAUAACGUAUUCGGACGGCAUCAUCUGAAUACCAAAGGAGCAAUCCGCUGAAAGAUGAGCUCGCGUCUGAUUAGAUAGUUGGUGAGGUAACGGCCCACCAAGUCGACGAUCAGUAGCCGGACUGAGAGGUUGAACGGCCACAUUGGGACUGAGACACGGCCCAGACUCCUACGGGAGGCAGCAGUGGGGAAUAUUGCGCAAUGGGGGAAAA